rnacentral:lncRNA from 1 species
GGAAUUAUUUUAAAUUAAAAAUUAAUGUCUGGCUUGAAGGUUCGGACCACUGUUUUUUUGGGGCUUGACAAAGUGAGGUUUGGACGGUGGGCUUUUAGAAUUAGGCUUAGUUCGAAUCCACCUUUACCUUUGUUCCUGAAAGUGAUAAAUUUAUAGUUCCACCGCACAAUUACUAGAGCUUAAGACGUUAAACCUACUUUGGACAAAGACAAAGCCACUGAAUUGGUCCAAAAUCCCAGCAAUUCGUACAUGUUAUUCAUUGCAAUGGGAUCAAGCCUGUUAUGGACAAGAUUCAAGCUAUGGAUAAUAUGCCUCGUCCUUCAUCACUACGAAAACUACUGAAUUGAAUCCAAGGCCUUUCAAUCUGGAUGCAUCUGUUUCGAGGAAUGUUUCCUUCUUCGGAUCGAAAAUGGCGAGAUUGCGACUCAAAAGAUAUUUUCUGGGACCCUUGGGAUCUUCUCACAACGCAUAACAUGGCAGCCUUCUCUUCAGUUGAUAUCUUGGCCGUUCUUAGGUAUCUACGGGUCUGUCCUCUUUAAGUUCUUCUAAAACUACCGACUGCGCCAUAUAAUAAUCUUAAGAAGUGUGACUUAUGCAACUUGCUCCAUCGUGGUAUAUAUUAAAACUGUACAAUUUAUUAUUUCUUUACAUGAUCAUCUUGUAUGACACUUAUAUAAAAUACACAUAUUAACAAUA